GAUGAACGCUGGCGGCGUGCCUAAUACAUGCAAGUCGAGCGAACGGACGAGAAGCUUGCUUCUCUGAUGUUAGCGGCGGACGGGUGAGUAACACGUGGAUAACCUACCUAUAAGACUGGGAUAACUUCGGGAAACCGGAGCUAAUACCGGAUAAUAUUUUGAACCGCAUGGUUCAAAAGUGAAAGACGGUCUUGCUGUCACUUAUAGAUGGAUCCGCGCUGCAUUAGCUAGUUGGUAAGGUAACGGCUUACCAAGGCAACGAUGCGUAGCCGACCUGAGAGGGUGAUCGGCCACACUGGAACUGAGACACGGUCCAGACUCCUACGGGAGGCAGCAGUAGGGAAUCUUCCGCAAUGGGCGAAAGCCUGACGGAGCAACGCCGCGUGAGUGAUGAAGGUCUUCGGAUCGUAAAACUCUGUUAUUAGGGAAGAACAUAUGUGUAAGUAACUGUGCACAUCUUGACGGUACCUAAUCAGAAAGCCACGGCUAACUACGUG
rnacentral:rRNA from 1 species